rnacentral:lncRNA from 1 species
UUUAUAUAUAUAUAAGAAUAUGUAUAUUCUUAUAUAAAAGUAUAUAUAAGAAUAUAUAUGAAACUUUCUGUAAUAAAAAAUUUAAGAACAAGGUAAGCAUAUAUGUAUAUUCUCCUCACAUAUUAUAAAAUAUAAAAGGAAUAUCUUAUACUUCUACUCCACUUCAAGCCAUAAAGAACAUAAUAAGAAUAGAGUUUACUCAGUAGAAUGACUCGAGCCUGUUCUACCAUGCUGUCUUUUUGUAAGAAUUUUAUUGGAGUAUAGUUGAUUUGUAAUGUUGUGUUAGUUUCAGGUGUAUAGCAAAGUGAGUCAGUUAUACAUAUAGCAUAUUGAUUCUUUUUUUCCUAUAUACUGUACUGCCUUAGUCUAUAUGUUAACUGAUCAAGGAGGAAUUGACAUGAAGCCAGACCUCAAGAUCUUGGCCUGACCAAGUGAGACUGUCUAGAAGUCCCCGAGUGUAAUCUGGAGGUAAAGGGGAUCAUUAUGCUUCACUGAGAUAUUUCAAAAGCUGAAUUCCUAUGUUUUUCAAUACCAAUCAUCUCUUAUUCAGCCAUUGUGGCAAAAUGCCAAAGCCCCAGUCUAAGGUUACCCUGGGAAAUUUCUUUAAAACACAAUUUCUACUUUUAUUUCUGGAUUAUCAGAAAUAACUGGAUCCUUCUGGGGAUAAUAUAAACUAUUUGUCCCAUGUUCUGGGCAGAAUAUUGGCAUUUCUGAUGGAUGGGAGAAACUUAAAUCCAUUUUGGAAGAGAAAAGGGAAGAGGAGAAAUCAAUGUCUCAAUGUUCUAGAUUGAAUUUUCAAAAGUUUUUUAAAAAUUUUAAAACAAUUCUUCUAAGGUUUUACUCAUAAACAUAUGUGUGUCUCCCUUCCAUUAAAAAAUUCUUUCAAUAUUUCUCAGACUGUUCUUAAUCUGUUCUUUGCAAUUGUCAUAAAUCAGUAUCUUUACUGAGAACAGCACAGAUCCAACACUGUCAUUAAAAGUUUCCUACUCACACUAUACCCAGACAUAAAACUGGACUAUACCACAAAUCUUAGGACUAUCCCAAGAAGACUUCAAAUUUACAUGAAUUUUAAACCAACAUCUCUGUUAUUAGCAGCAGAUAGAGACUAAGUCCCAAGAUAUAAUGUCACUAAAGCACUAUUCUAUAAUCAGUUAAACAAGGUUUAGGUUUCAAAAUCUACUCUACAUGGAAGAUAAAACAAACAAACCAACAAACAAACAUGACUUCAAAUCAUUAUGUACUAUGUCAUUGUUACCCAUUCUGGUUAAUCAAAGCACAUAACUCAUCAAACUAGGACAAUGAACCAUAUGUACAUGAUCCAGUUACAUUAGUCUUAUUGGUCCUUGCCAAUCUGACAAAACCCAGCUUCAUGUUAAUAAUGAUGUCUCCCUUAAGAAAGAUCUGAAAUUCUUCUACCUACCUCCCACUCCUCCUAGCUCUGCACAAAAAACAUUCUUAACAGUAGAUAAAUGGACCCACUUCUUGAGGAUGACACCUGUGAAGUUACUCAGACACAGAGAUACAAAGACAUGAAUUCAUUUCUUCUUCCAAUGUAGCCUUUAAGUCACCUUUCUCUAGUAUACCUUUAUCACGUUAAUUUUGAAUGAUGUAUCUAUUUCAUCACACCCUCCAACUCUGUAACAAUCACUAAUACUUCUUGAAUGUCUUCUUUAGUCCUGGCACUCACGAGGUCUGUGUGUAUACUUGGCCAAUCUUCACAAUAAAUGUGUAAAGAAGAUAUUACUUUUUUAAAAUGAGGAAACGAAUAGCCAGAGAGAUUAAGCUCAAGGUAACCCAGCAAUAAAUGAUAGAGCUUAAAUUCUAACCUUAGCCCAUCUUCCUUUCUCUUCUGUUCUAUCUGCUGUUUCCUUUCCACUCUCUACAUAUCUCAACAGAACUGUGUUCCCACUUUCUGGGACUUUCACUCUCCUUUAUAACCACAGCAUCUAGUUCUCAUUGUGUAGAGGUCUGCCCCAUCCAGCUAUCUAUGCUGAAUGGAGAAAUUGGCUACCUCUGGAUGUUUACUAUUGAGAGGUCCAUUUGGCUCUCAUCCUUAAGCCACAUUUCACAGUAAUCACCUUUGCCACUAUAAGGGUAAUAUUUUGUUUUUCACCUACCUUAUUUCUGUAUCUCGUUUCGCAGUUGGUUCAAAACCCAGAUGGGGAAGGAAGAUGUUAUUUAUUGGGCCUGUUCUGACAUCACUGUCUUAGAACACGAGCUCUUGAGUCUGAAUGGAUUUUGCCUUUGCUUAUUAAGAAAGAGGGUUCCUUAUGCAAAUCAAUACUGUAAGCAAAUACAGUAGUUGUUUAACCUGCACGCGCGUGUGCACACACAGAGACAGAAAUUAGGUUAAGAACAUAUGUGUUAAUUUGCCUCUGAGGAACAAUUUUAAUUAUAAAUGAAACUUUUUUAUUCCUUGACUAGGCCCAGUAGGGCUUCUCUUUGGCAGUACCUACAUUUUUAUUUUUAGCAUUUGGUUAGAAAUGUUCUUUGUGAUUGAAAGCAAUAAAAUGAUUUUCAUUUAAAAGUGGUCAGACUGAUAUUCUCUCCCGUAACAAUGAGUCAUUAAGACUUUAAGCUUUUCUAACUUCUCCCUUUGUUGAAUUAAUAUCAAGACCCUUUCAACUUGCAAGUGGAAAGUAAUACAGCUUGCUGUGCAACCAAACCCAAGAAGCCCCACAGUGUAAAUACUACUCUUAGUACAUGGAGUCAAAGCCAGUUCAGCUCUUACAGGAUUCCUUUGAAUACAAGUCCCUCGCCAGCAACCAACAUAUUUUCUUAGCAAGAGGAAAAAUAGUUCACAGCAUGUUCCAUUACUUGCUAGUUCUUAGCUCCUAAAUAAUAAAAGUCAGUAAUCAGUGAAGUCAAAAUAAUGAUUUUAAACUCACACGGGGACCACCAGGUUACCAAUUACUCCAAAAAAAAGGAGAACAGGUUUAUGAUCAGAUGGCCCAUAGCAUUAAUUAAUAGCUGAAAAAUGGCAAGAAUCAAGGAUUCAUUUCAGUGCUUUAUGACUCACAUGCGAACGAUCAUAUGGAAAAUCAGAAUGAUUGCUGGAAAUAUAGAGACCCCGUUGCCCAGGAGAAAUGGGAUGACCUAACUUCUGGGGUUUCACAGACAGUAAACGGAUCAUCAGGGACCCUUCCUGCACAUUUCACAGUUCAUUUCAAGGUGCAUCCUAUGUGUCACAACCCCAAACACAAAUACCUGUGGGGUCAAACAGAUAACAAAAAUAAGUAACAUGGGACCAUGGGCCCCUAGUAACUAGUUCACACAACUCUAAAUUUUCAGUACGACUAGCUACACAAUCGGUGCAGCCAAUGCACAAUGAAAUGAAAGGCCCCUUGUUCUCAAAACAGCAAAAAAGGUGACAUGAAAGGUACUAAAAUAUGAAGCUUUUUAAUUUCUCCCCAGUCUCCUUGAGUCUCUGUCUCUCUUUCCACAUGACCUUCUCUCUCUGUCAAGAACUUUUCAUUUGUUAUUUAAGGUUGCAUUUCCCCAGGUGCAGGAAAACUCAUGAGUGUAGACCCUACGGGGUAAGACCUAAAAUUAAGACUCAGUAUGACGUGCUGCCUUGACAUCUGAAGCCAGAAGGGUCUCAAAAGGCCUAAUGGCAAGUCCCCGCUGUGCUCCUUCCUUGCCAAACACCCCACCUUAUCAUGGGGCCCAGGCACAGGGUCUGCUUAUUCCUGAGUAAUAGGUUUCAGUCCCCUGCCAGCCCACAGAAUUACUCAGACAAGCCAAUCCCAUCCUCUUCUGGAAACCAGGGGUCACCACUACCUCAUGUUACUACAAAGCCUCUACAAAGAAAUUACUCUCUCCUUUUCUUCUUGGAACAUGGUGGCCUCUCAGUAUGCCUUCCAUUAUUCUGUUUGGAUAGAUACCAAAAAUAUUUCAACUUCUCUUAAUUCUUUGCCAUGGAAAGAGCACUGCAGGUUUGACUGUGAGGGCCCGCUAAUAUCAGCCUCAGUGUAGCGGGGCAAGUAGAGUGUGGUUUGGGGACCUCAUGCCCUGUCAUGGAGCCUUCACCACCCAGCCUGCAAAUCAUUGCCACAUGUGAGCCCAAGAUUGCCAGAGAUGCCAUAUUUUCAAGGAAAGCCAGUAAUUCAGGUUUUUACAGGAAAAUUAAACUUAUUUAUAAAUGAUGAUGACUGAUGGGGAAAAAAUUUAAUGGUGAUUUAGCCCACACUAAAAGGACAAAAUAAAAAACACAUGUAGGUAGCAUUCAGCCAUGUUUGAUGGUCUCUGACAUGGAAGAAGAGUACCGCUGUCAUAAAAAUCCCAUUUAUUGCUGUGCUGUGACACCAUGUCACACCAUCAUUAUUUAUGUAUUUGCCUCUUUCCUCCACUAGACCCUGAGCUCCCUGUUGAAGGGUGUAUGUCUGCACUUGGCACAAUGGUCUGGCAUGCACCAGCUGCUACAGAAUCUCCCAUUAAAUGAUUUACAUUCAAUUAAUACUUAUUAAGAACCAACAAUUUCCCAGGCACUGAGAUGAACCAAACAAAUAAUACACAUAUUCAAUGAAUGAAUCUUUCAUUUUAAAGACUUCCUUCUUGUCUUUUCAAUGAGACUUUAAAAUCUCUAAGUUCUUUUAAAAUCACACCUAUCAGUAGCAGAGGGUCAGGUGCAGGGAUUUUUUUACUCUGCAAAAGUGAGCCUUCAACCAAGAAACACAUUAAAGAUCACCUGUGAAUUCACAUGGGGCAUCACAUGGUGACAGAGGGCUUGCAGUUGAAAUCCUCUGGGUGUGCCCCACCCUACAUGGUAUUAAAAACCUCUACAGUUAAGACUGCCAAGCCACCCUCCACCCUACCCAAUUAUUUGGGGCCCAUUCACCAUUAUCUAUAACCAUUCUUUCAACAGAUAUUAAUUUGAGGGCCUAAAUAUAACAAGUGAUGUGUGAGCUUAGAGGGACCACAGGACUGAAUCAAUGUAGUCUUGCCCUCAGUUGCUCUAAGACUAUAUAGAAAGACAAUUUUAGAAGCUCCCAUGGUGGCUCAGUGGUUAACGAAUCCGACUAGGAACCAUGAGGUUGCGGGUUCAGUCCCUGGUCUUGCUCAGUGGGUUAAGGAUCCGGCAUUGCCGUGAGCUAUGGUAUAGCUUGCAGAUGCGGCUCGGAUCCCGUGUAGCUGUGGCUCUGGUGUAGGCCAGCGGCUACAGCUCCAGAUAGACCCCUAGACUGGGAACCUCCACAUGCUGCGGGAGUGGCCCUAGUAAAGGCAAAAAGACAAAAAAAAUAAAUAAAUAAGAAAGACAAUUUUACCCUUAUUCCAUCUAACUUGCUUUUUUGGUCCACAAAUUCCUUCUUGCAGGAAAAUCAGCUCCAUCUAUCAUUCUUCUUGGCCUCUUUUCUACGGUACAGCCCCACUGACCCCCAGCACGACAUAAUAUAACAAGUGGGGCCAACCCAGUGUGUAUGAGGCCCAUAGGUUUACACUGGCCUGAACUGUCUCAGGGUAUAUAGGCACAUUUACUCUCAUGGUUCACUCAUGAAGACAUCACUACCUUUAUCCCAUACAAGUCCUCCCUCACACUCCCACCUCUUAGGAUACCUAUGGCACAACCAAACCAGAAUUGCUCUUAACCUGUUUUCAGGCUUCUGUGGCUGAGUAACCACAUUGGUGUUUCCCAAAUCGACCACUGCCUGCAAACCAUUGCCCAUUCUGCAUUAGUAACAAUAAUAACAAUUACCACUUAUUGACUCUUUACUCCAAUUGACUUUUUACUCUUGACCUAUUCUGAAGUCAGUUCAGGGAAUCUAGGUUAUGAUGCCAACACUUGUUUGAAACUCGCACUGCUUGUGUUUACAUAAGACCCCAAAUCUUAAUUCUGCACUUCCUUGUAGGAAUCCUGAUGCUGAGGUUCUCAGAUAUGGAUUUUUACAUACUGCAUGUGGGAACUAGCUCAGAUUCUCUCUCCCUAACCUUUCCAAAUCCACUGCUAUUCACCCAUGGCCACAUCAUCACGUUCUGGGGCAUUCUGCUAGGCGGUCUCCCUAGAAUUCAAACAGGAAGAAGGGAACAGGUGGUGGGACACCUAUGUCCUGUUUCCCCAAUCUUUACCUUUGGCUUCCGUCCUAAUCCCUCUUCCCCACCUUCUUCCAAGUGUUGGAGUCACUGGGUACCUCCGAGUGACCCCACAAGCAUUUUCACCCUAGCUUUCACCUUCUGACUCUUGCUUCCAUUAGCUAAGCUCCUGCUUCCCAUGGUAAGAGAGCUUUCUACCAUUUCUUAAUAGGACAUCCUCUUAAACCUUAUAUUUUAUCUUCUGUGUACUGUGUCUUGGCUCUUGUCAUGAUUAGAAGUAUGAGUGGAAUUUAAAUAACAAUUUUCUCUUUCAACAAGCCUUAGCUUUCAUUGAAGAUUCAAGCAAAUUGUUCUGAAACUCAAAAAUGAGCACUGAUCUCUUUGUUCUAAGUGUACCCUGAAAAAAUUAAUGUUUGGGGUAGAUGAGUUGCCCUUUGGACAAGAUAAUUUAUGGAGAAUAAAAUGCAUUGGUAUGGUAUAUUUUUUAAAUGCUAUCCCAGGGUCAGUAACACUCAGAGUAGAAAGAGGUUGAAGUUACACUUGUUAUUUUCUGUCUCAAAACAAAGCUUCAAAAGGAAACAGUCUUCAGACUGAAUAAAAUGCACUGUGUCACCUGCCAUGUGCAUCUGCCUUCCUGGAUGCCAAGAUAUUGGAGGAGAUGAAUAUAUGGAUCCUCUACCACUCUGCCUUCCUCUCCACACUCAUCCCUAAUCCACCCCUUUCUCUUGUACUUACCUAGGCUGCCUGAGUGCCAUUAUUCUUGCAUCAGACCAAGAGUUAAGAUUUUUAAGUUGAGUGACUGAAAAAGCCUUUUUUUUUUAUUACUUAUAUCUUGCUUAUUAAAUAACAUUUAAUCAUUUCUGGCGAGUGUUGAUGGAGCAAACUCUUGGAUAGUAGAUGUCUGGAAACAUAUCUACACUUUCCAGCAUGAGCUUGUGUUAAAAAUUGCAACUAGAACUGUUUUCAUGCUAAACGUGUUCAUACAGUACUUGAAAGUUUAAUGUAGAAAACCUCUCUGUCUUUGAGAUGACGCAAUUAAACAACUUACCAAGUGAUUCAUCUAUCAAUUAGGUUUAACCUGUCUUACUUCAUUUAUAAUUUGGGUUCCUAAGAACUAGGGUAGACUUCCUCCCUAUGGAAGGGACCAUGGACCCUGGUUCAUGCCUACAGUGCCAUGCUUUGGGACAGCAGGACAGUUUGCUUCUAAUCCAGAGUCCUGAGACAACAAUGCAGCCGAUGACUGCCCCACAAUGUUCUAGGCUUGCUUAGUUGUUACUCUCCUUCAACACAUCCUCCCCUGCUGAGCCAUUUAGAAGUGAUGACCUGGCUAAUUCUUCAUAUUUGAACAUCCAGACCACAUACCACCAGACCUGUUCUAAGGAUAUCAUUAUCAGGUACACUAUCCAGGUCAGAGCCUCAUCUAGUACCACGUUAAGCCCAGGAAUCUCAUCAACAGGCUCCCUGGCAUCUUUCUAUGUCGACAUUCAUGGUAUUCAAUGCUGAGUCUCUGAGGUAUGCAUUUUGUGUAUUGACUUAAUCCCACCUUUAUCUUCCCAUUAUAGCCACUUAAUCAUUUAGCUGUGAUUGCUAUUAUUAUAUUCCCCAAACUGCCCAAAUACCUUCUUAAAAUGAGGCAAUAGGUAAACACUAACCAGACCAGCCUAGAAUUGUCAUUAAAAAAAAAAAAACCCUCUAGUAAUUAUAAACCAAAUGUUAGAGCUAAGAAUCAGCAACCCAGCUGUGUAAUGUCCCUGCCUUGUUCCCUGAGUACUACUGACCUAUGUUAUAAAGCCCAGACCUUUCCUUGGCCAAGAGCAGGUCAGUUUCCAUGGAGACAAUGAUGACAGUGACUGAGCAGGACUCCAGGGAUGAGAGGUAGAGCCUUCCAGAAGAUUUAGAUUGAGGCUGACUCUAUCCUAAUUUCUUUCCAUAUAGUCAAUAUAGACAGCCUACCUGCUGGGAGCAGAGAUAUCAAAACUCCCACGUUUUUUGGUCUCUACAAAUGGGUUCAUUUCCAGUCCCCAGGAGGUAGCACAGAGCAUUGGAAAGCACAAGAUUUGAAAUCAAACCCAGUUAUCCACCCUUACAGCCAUGUGAUCUUAGAAAGUUACUUAACUUCUUGAAGCUGGUGUUA